CCUACGGGAGGCAGCAGUGGGGAAUUUUGGACAAUGGGCGCAAGCCUGAUCCAGCAAUGCCGCGUGAGUGAAGAAGGCCUUCGGGUUGUAAAGCUCUUUUGUCAGGGAAGAAACGGUGGGGGCUAAUAUCUCCUACUAAUGACGGUACCUGAAGAAUAAGCACCGGCUAACUACGUGCCAGCAGCCGCGGUAAUACGUAGGGUGCAAGCGUUAAUCGGAAUUACUGGGCGUAAAGCGUGCGCAGGCGGUUUUGUAAGUCUGUCGUGAAAGCCCCGGGCUCAACCUGGGAAUUGCGAUGGAGACUGCAAGGCUUGAAUCUGGCAGAGGGGGGUAGAAUUCCACGUGUAGCAGUGAAAUGCGUAGAGAUGUGGAGGAACACCGAUGGCGAAGGCAGCCCCCUGGGUCAAGAUUGACGCUCAUGCACGAAAGCGUGGGGAGCAAACAGGAUUAGAUACCCUGGUAGUCCACGCCCUAAACGAUGUCUACUAGUUGUCGGGUUUUAAUUAACUUGGUAACGCAGCUAACGCGUGAAGUAGACCGCCUGGGGAGUACGGUCGCAAGNUUAAAACUCAAAGGAUUGACGG
rnacentral:rRNA from 1 species